GACGAACGCUGGCGGCGUGCUUAACACAUGCAAGUCGAACGGAAAGGCCCUGCUUUUGUGGGGUGCUCGAGUGGCGAACGGGUGAGUAACACGUGAGUAACCUGCCCUUGACUUUGGGAUAACUUCAGGAAACUGGGGCUAAUACCGGAUAGGAGCUCCUGCUGCAUGGUGGGGGUUGGAAAGUUUCGGCGGUUGGGGAUGGACUCGCGGCUUAGCAGCUUGUUGGUGGGGUAGUGGCUUACCAAGGCUUUGACGGGUAGCCGGCCGGAGAGGGUGACCGGCCACAAGGGAACUGAGACACGGUCCAGACGACUACGGGAGGCAGCAGUGGGGAAUAUUGGACAGUGGGCGGAAGCCUGGUACAGCCAUACCGAGUGGGUGAAGAAGGCCUUCGGGUUGUAAAGCCCGUUUGUUGGGAAAGAAAAGCAGCAGGUGAAUACCCAGCGGUUCUGACGGUACCGAAAGAAUAAGAACCGGCUAACUUCGUG
rnacentral:rRNA from 1 species